rnacentral:rRNA from 1 species
CCCUACGGGGNGCANCAGGCGCGAAAAUUCUGCAAUACACGAAAGUGUGACAGAGGAACUUCGAGUGCUCACACUGUGAGCUUUUGCCAACUGCAGUAAGGUUGGCGAAUAAGGGGUGGGUAAGAUACGUGCCAGCCGCCGCGGUAA